CGAGUGGCGGACGGGUGAGGAACACGUGGGUGACCUGACCUGUGGUGAGGAAUACCGGCGAGAAAUCGCCGACAAUACCGCAUAGGCUCUCGUGAGAGAGCAAAGCUUCUUGCAAAAGAGGCGCCAGAGGAUGGGCCCGCGGCCGAUUAGCUGGUUGGUGGGGUAAGAGCCUACCAAGGCGACGAUCGGUAGCUGGUCUGAGAGGAUGGCCAGCCACACUGGAACUGAGACACGGUCCAGACUCCUACGGGAGGCAGUAGUGGGAAUCUUGCGCAAUGGGCGAAAGCCUGACGCAGCGACGCCGCGUGGGGGAUGAAGCUUCUCGGAGUGUAAACCCCUUUCGACUGGGACGAAUACCUCGCAAGAGGGGUGACGGUACCAGUAGAAGAAGCCCCGGCUAACUACGUGCCAGCAGCCGCGGUAAGACGUAGGGGGCCAGCGUUGUUCGGAAUUACUGGGUGUAAAGGGUCAGUAGGCGGUGUAGCAAGUCGGGAGUGAAAUCUAUGGGCUUAACCCAUAGGCUGCCUCCGA
rnacentral:rRNA from 1 species